CAGAGAAGCCACGAUCAGCUUCUUUGUAAAGGCCUCCUAAUGAAGCAAGAAAACCUGGCAAGUGGUGUUGGUGAUUGUUAAACUCUCCAUGCUAUCCUGUGCCUCACAACUAUCUAAAGAAGCAGCACAGGAACCACCUGCUAAUGGAACUGAAGGCAAUUGGCAGAGCUGAUACUUUAUCCUUUCUUCCUGCUGGCUCAGUCCAACCUGUAGGUCUCCAGAUCACCAGCUUGCAGUUCCUUAUUUGAGUAAAAAUGUUUAUCAAGUUCUAAAGGAUUACUCAGUGUCAUCUUCAUCAGCCAACCAUCUUCAUAACAAGAUUUGUUGACAAGUCCUGGAUUUUCUGCAAGAGCUUCAUUAAGUUGUUACUUCUCCUGAUAGAGGAGAAUAAAGUUCACCGGCAGCUCUCACACUUUCCAAAGCGCCAAACUCCUCGUUUGUUCAAUUUUGUCCCCACCUCAGGAAGACUAUGUUAAAGACAUCUCCCAAAGCUUCCUGUGCAGAAUUGCUGAUUCCCCUUGUUCCAGUACUAUCUUCUGUUGUUAUCCAUUCAUGUUGGUGAAUUUCUGCACCAAGAGCCGAGCGAGGCCUGUGCGCAGCGGCGGAACACCGCUCGCCGGAAGCCCCCAGGGCCUUGGCGGGCAGGACGUGGUGGGCCGGGGGCCGUGCGCAGGCUGCAGACGUCGGUCCGCAC